AAUUCCUAUAUUUUAGUAUAUCUUAUUAUCUUUCUUAUUUCUGUUCCUGAACUGAACUUCGCCAUUUUCUACAAAAUUAUAAGAGCAAUGAUGGUUUGGACAAAUGAUUAUGGUUGCUUAUUUAUUUUCUUGGUGCUAGAUUACUAAUGUAGAGAAAUAUAAUUAUAUGAUUUUACCAUUAUUAUCAGAUGAGGAAGUGAUAGGUUCGUAAAAUGACAAUAGUUACCUAUCUCUCAUCUCUACUGUAUUCAUGUAAAUGCCCAUGUCUUUUUCCAUUAUUUUCAGUUGAUAUGUUCUUCACUGGACACAAAUCAUUCUUACUAUACUAUCAGAUAUUAAUAGCACAUGCUCUUUUGAGGGAAAUGGGGAUGUCACUAUCUUUUGGUCUUCUGCCCAGAAAUCUUUAGACAUUACUCUGUUCCAUACACUAAGAAGUUUGAAGUGUGUUGAUUGCCACUCGCGUUGCUGCUCUGCUUGGAGGCGUCGGCGUCGACUGGAGGAGCGCCGAAUCGUUGUCCUCGAGUUCGUGCACUUCAGGAAGAAGACGGCUCAAGGUGAGACGUCACGCAUCCGUCGUGCGGAGGUAGAGCAGCUCUAGAGGGACCAAGGUCGAGGUAGCCACUGCUCCUGUCGAGGCUAGCCUGCCGUAGGGACGAAUCAGGUCCCUAGACCCUUAUGAGCCCUAAUUUUCAUGGAGCAAGGUGCAUCUUGCCGCUUUUGCUUUUGGUAAAAAGGAAUCCCUAUUGUUAUGUUGGUAGCCUCUUUGCAAGUUUAUUCUGCCUUUUUGACAUUUUUUGUUCUAUCUUGCUAUGCAUUGUAUCAUAUUACAGCUGUGUGCUCAAACCAACUGAGCUUAAUUCACAUAUAUAGAUAUUUAAGAAUGUGGGGAUGAUGCCCAAUUGGCAAGGUUUGCAAUAUUGUAGGAACCAUUUGGAGAUGAGUUGUAGAUAUUAAGCUAUGUAGGAGAUGAUUUUGAGGUAACAAGCCUUCAGCUUGCUUUCUGUUAACCUUUUUAUGCAUGGGUUCAGUUUGAUGCAAUCUAGGCAUUAUUUGUUGUCGAAUGGAUUAUUUUUUCCUACUAGGUAACAUCUGAUGCUUGGAAUGCAUUAUUUCUGAUGGCCCAGAAAAAAACUCUUUGUACAUAUUGUUUUGUUUAGAUGCAUACAAGAUGCAUGUUUAUGCCUCAUACCUGCUGAUUUAUAUGACUGAGGAACUCUCUUUCUUCCUAGAUGUGCCCAUAUGCUCUUCAUUGAUAUAGCAUCUUCUUACUUGUAUAUUAUUCACAUAUAGCAUCUCAUUUCUUGGUUGAUUGCUU